GUUCUAUACAGACAGAUAAUUAUUUAUGUAGAAUGUCAUACAUAGUCCUACUUAUGACUAUGACACAAUAAUUUAGUGCAGAGGAGUACUGACUUGCUGUGAUAUCAUCAGUCUUGAGAAACGGAGACAUGGUGCGGUGUAGAGGAGCACAGGAGCACAGGCAGAGACCGAUACCAGACAGGGCACAGGCUUGGCACCAGACAUCCCAUGAGCAGUGCACGGAAGAGAUUAAAAAUAGGCUACACUCUGGUAAUGCUCAGCUGGGAAGUACAACACAGAGAUAGGUGGGAAACCCAGGAACUACCUGCAAGACAAAGGUGUUGAACUGAGCUGGAGCUCACAGCCUGGUCACAGACAGUAAAAGCUGAAGAGUUCCUACAGUGCUGAACCAAGGCUACACAGGGCAAAAACAUUCAUUGGCUGCUGUAGAAAUACAGCUGUGCCCUUGAGCCCCUGGGAUUUUAAGCAUAUUUAAGUAUGAUUUUAAGAAGAAAUUUAAGGAGAUCUGAAUUCAGCUGGCUGACUGACAUAAUUGGGAUCCUGCGUUCUCUAUAUGAAAAUAUAUUUCUUCACAUCACUGAAGCUGCAAGGAGUGGGGGAGUAACAUAUAACACCUUUGGGCUCAAAGGAAGAAAUAACAGACUGAGAUUUGAGUUGGUACUUUUAAAAUCAGCUACUUCCUCUAGCACUGCAUUAAUUUGAACAGAAAUCCAAGAUGUAUUGAGAGACCAGUAAAGUCUUCUUCAGUAACACCAUUCUACUGACUACCAUUAGAGUAUGAUAAUCCAAGGAGAAGAUAUUUUCCUUACAAUUGUUGCAAAGGACAUAGACACUCAUUUUUCUGUAAAUAAAGAAAACUAUUAUAGUUGUGAAGGAAUACGA
rnacentral:lncRNA from 1 species